rnacentral:rRNA from 1 species
GACGUAGGGCGCGAGCGUUGUCCGGAUUUAUUGGGCGUAAAGAGCUCGUAGGCGGUUUGUCGCGUCUGCUGUGAAAACCUAAGGCUCAACCUUGGGCUUGCAGUGGGUACGGGCAGACUAGAGUGCGGUAGGGGGUGACUGGAAUUCCUGGUGUAGCGGUGGAAUGCGCAGAUAUCAGGAGGAACACCGAUGGCGAAGGCAGGUCACUGGGCCGCAACUGACGCUGAGGAGCGAAAGCAUGGGGAGCGAACAGGG